rnacentral:rRNA from 1 species
AUGGCCAGCGGCACCAUUACCGCCGUUAACUCCUCCUCCCUUCAGGUCAGCUCGCAUUCACACAAAACCUUCUCCUCGACCGCAACUCUAAGAUCAACCGCAUGUGCCUCCAACAUCGCCAUCACCAACAUCUACGCUCCUUCUACACGUUCCCUCAAGCAAUCUUUCCUAGAUGAGCUCCUCUCCAUGGCGCAACCUGACCAGGUGCCUUGGCUAAUCGUCGGCGACUUCAACCUCCUCCGCUUUCCCUCAGACAAAAACAAAUCCUCCUUUCGACAAUCAGAAGCUAACGCCUUUAACCAAGUGAUCCACAACUUAGCUCUCAUUGAGCUGCCUCUUCUCGACCGAGAAUUUACGUGGACCAACAACCACGCCUCGCCCACUCUGGAAAGGAUCGAUCUGGCCUUUUUUAACUUAGCAUGGGCAGAUGCGUUCCCCAACACCUCUCUGUCCUCCCUCACACGUUUCACCUCUGACCACGUACCGCUGCUAGUG